GGCGCAUUAGUCAAGUGGUUAAGACACCGCCUUUUCACGGCGGAGACGUGAGUUCGAUUCUCUCAUGCGUCA
rnacentral:tRNA from 1 species